CUGAAUACUUUGUAACAUAUAACAUCAAAAUCAAGUCUUCUAUAUAUGCCAUAAUUUAGAAAUAUUGAUUACAAAAUACCAAAAGUUGUGGAUAGCGUAGAUGAGUUCCCGACUAUUUCCAAAUUCCGAGCUGAACUGGUAACACUAUAAAACAAGGGAAAAGAAAGAGGAGUAAACAUAUAGCUUAGUAAGUAAGUAUGUAAUUAAUAAACAAGUUUCUAGCAUGUUUCUCUAGAUAAUAUAAUCUUAAUCACACAUAAAUUCACUAUUUAUUCAAGUUCCAGCAAGCUGUUUAUUUGCGUCACAGUCAUUAAAUUAUUUUUAUCCAGAGCUACAGAACUCCAAAUUAAGAUCUGUAAAUUUUCCCUGAAACUAGACUCAUAUAUAUUCUUACCAUAAAAUUUUCAGAAUUUUUGGUUUAGCCAAUUAGUACAGUUUAUUCUUUAAAGUUUCCCCUGUUUCACUGCUUAACAGUUCUGACCCCUCUUCACUAAAAAUUAAUUAUCUCUUUGUACAGAAUUCAAAUGAUGUUCCCGUUUGUUUCUCUUGAAAGUAGACUCAUUUAAAAAUUUAAGAAUUUAAAUUAAAAACUAUAAUUAUUUUUGUACAAUUUUUAGUGAAUUUCCAAAGUCGGAACAGGGGAUUUCGAAAUCAUUCUGACCCUGUCUUACUAAAAUUCAAAUAUCUCAAAAUAUCUAACUCUUUUACUUAUUCUGUUUCCUUUAUGUGAAAAUAGACUCAUUCAGCUUUAAUUUCAUAUCUCAUCAAACCCCUAAUUCAAUUUCCACCAUUUUUGAUGAUUUUUCAAAGUUACACAACUGCUGUUGUUCAAAACUAUUUUAUUUCUAAAUUUACUCUUUAAUAGUUUUAAUACUUCAUAUCAUCUUACUAAAGGGUCGAUUAAAUAUCGAAUCCAAUAUUCAUCACGUAAUCUUAUCCAUUUCACAUGUACUUUCACUUGUCCAAUUUCCCCGAUGAACACUUCGGAAUAUUGACCGUUACUCGGUGGAAUCAGCACUUAGCAACCACCUUAUAUUCAGUGAUACGGGGAAUCAACACAUAACAACCCCUUUCACAAUCAAGGAUACAGUAGAAUCAGCACUUAGCAACCACCUUUAGAAUCAAUAAUUCGGGGAAUUAACACUUAGCAACCCCUCGGGGAAUCUGCACUUACCAACCCCUUUUUGAUCAGUGAUUUGGGGAAUCUGCACUUAGCAACCCUUUACAUUCAAUGAAUCCCAGUCUGAUCCGAGUGUUCAAUCGAGAACCUUAUUUUACAACAUUUUACCAAAUUUUUCAAAUUUAACCACAUUGUUGUAAUCUACAUCAAAUAUUUAUUCUAUAUUCAAUCAUAUCUCAACAAUAUAUUAAAUAAAAUUAAAAUAAUGCAUUAUUCACAUACAAACUUAUCUCGGUGCAAAAUAUAGUUAUUUUGCAGUUUAGUCUACGAUCUUUUCCUUUCCCCGAUUGAGAUUGAUUCCACGUUCUUCUUGAUCUAUAAUAUCAAAUUUAGCUUGUUUAAUAUUCACAUUUAUCAAAACAGUCCUCGACUCAAUUUUUGGCAAAAUUAUGAUUUUACCCCUAAACUUUUGCAUAUUUCCAAUUUUGUCCCAAAGCUCGGAAAUUAAACUUCAUCUCUUAUUCUUAUGUUUUAUGACAUGCUGUUCAUUUUUCCCUUCUAUGGUAACAUCAAAUUCCCACUCUAACACUUACUUAUAAACAUUAGGUAUUUUUACCGAUUUUGAUGUUUUACUCGUUUUCACUUAAAAUCGCUUAGCAAAAGUUGUGUAACAUAAUUCCAAGCUUCAUAUUCUACCAUAAAGCAUCAAAAUAAACACAUUUCACCUAUGGGUAUUUUUCCAAAUAUGAACCCUAGGUUAAAUUAUUGCUAGAAUAAGCUAAAUUAAGUUAUCGGGACUCCAAAAACGUAAAGAAAAUUAAAAACGGGGUUUGGGAUCACUUACUAUGGAGCUUGGAAGCUUGAAACCCUAACUAUGGCUCCCCCUUGUAAAGUUUGAC
rnacentral:lncRNA from 1 species